rnacentral:lncRNA from 1 species
CGGUCAUUGAUGAACGAUGGAAAGAGGAAUCUCUCCCAAACGCAAGGCUGAGAGAUGUUUCAGAAAUCCUGGACUCACCUGAUGAUCUAAGGUUGACUGCAGCAAAUGGGACUGAAAUGCCGUACCUGGGAUGGAUUGAAACAACUUUUCGGCUAGCCUCUGAAACUGACCAAACAAUCAUCAUAGGUUUCAAUGUUAUCGAGCACAUCCUGACAAUGACCGAAAAGACUAAACGAUACAGUACAGUAAAAACAGCUUUCCCAAGCCUCAAUAGAAACAAGGUGAGAGCUUUUAUACAGGCUGUUAGCGCAGAACAGACAGAUGAAUACGCAGUGAAAACCAAGAAAGAGAAGGUUGCUGUACCAAAACACAGUAGCAUUCAGAUUGAGUGCCGUGUAGCUUCCCAGCCUUUCAAAGAUGACAUGACAAUGCUUUUCCAGCCAGACCUGAACCCGCAGUGGCCAGACGACCUUGAGUUCUUUGACACACUAGUCAGAGUCAGGAAAGGUGUUUUUCCAGUUAUCCUGCUUGAUGUCUCUAACCCCACUGACCACGACAUUGCCCUGCUAGGACGCACAAUAAUCGGUACAGUACAAACCAUUAUGACUGUGUUACCUGCCCAAGUCUUUGAAAAAACUGUCACCCCAGCCACAGUGAAUCACACCAGCGUUCGAACCCCAUGUACUGCUACUGAACAGUGGGAUCCAACAGUAGAUUUAACUCACCUAACCGAAGAACAGAGAGAGGUUGUUAGGCAAAUGCUUAGAGAAGAGUGUCACUCCUUCUCCAGAUCAGACAAUGACAUUGGCUGCAUUGAACGAUUGAAAAUGACUAUUUCUCUAAAGGACUCUGAACCAGUAAAGCGCACAUACAUGUCAGUGCCCAGGCCACUGUAUCAGGAGAUGAAGGGUUACAUUUAUGACCUCAUAGUCCAGGGCUGGGUUAGGAAGUCAAACUCUUCAUAUUCUUCACCUGUCGUGUGCGUUCGUAAGAAGGACGGGACCCUCCGGUUGUGUAUAGAUUACAGAGACCUGAACAGAAAGACACAUCCCGAUCGCCAGCCCAUCCCUCGGGUCCAAGAUAUCAUGGACAGUUUAGGUGGUAAUUCCUGGUUCUCCCUCUUAGAUCAUGUGAAUGUGAAUGAAUGAUCAUAGAAUGUGAACAUGAGGACACAA